GGUUAAGCGACUAAGCGUACACGGUGGAUGCCCUGGCAGUCAGAGGCGAUGAAGGACGUGCUAAUCUGCGAAAAGCGUCGGUAAGGUGAUAUGAACCGUUAUAACCGGCGAUGUCCGAAUGGGGAAACCCAGUGCAAUUCGUUGCACUAUCGUUAACUGAAUACAUAGGUUAACGAGGCGAACCGGGGGAACUGAAACAUCUAAGUACCCCGAGGAAAAGAAAUCAACCGAGAUUCCCCCAGU
rnacentral:rRNA from 1 species